rnacentral:rRNA from 1 species
GAACGCUGGCGGCGUGCCUAACACAUGCAAGUCGAACGGACUUACAUUGAAGCCUAGCGAUAUGUAAGUUAGUGGCGGACGGGUGAGUAACGCGUGGGUAACCUGCCUUGUACUGGGGGACAACAGUUGGAAACGACUGCUAAUACCGCAUAAGCGCACAGCUUCGCAUGAAGCAGUGUGAAAAACUCCGGUGGUACAAGAUGGACCCGCGUCUGAUUAGCUGGUUGGUGAGGUAACGGCCCACCAAGGCGACGAUCAGUAGCCGGCCUGAGAGGGUGAACGGCCACAUUGGGACUGAGACACGGCCCAAACUCCUACGGGAGGCAGCAGUGGGGAAUAUUGCACAAUGGGGGAAACCCUGAUGCAGCAACGCCGCGUGAGUGAAGAAGUACUUCGGUAUGUAAAGCUCUAUCAGCAGGAAAGAAAAUGACGGUACCUGACUAAGAAGCCCCGGCUAACUACGUGCCAGCAGCCGCGGUAAUACGUAGGGGGCAAGCGUUAUCCGGAUUUACUGGGUGUAAAGGGAGCGUAGACGGUUUUGCAAGUCUGAAGUGAAAGCCCGGGGCUUAACCCCGGGACUGCUUUGGAAACUGUAGAACUAGAGUGCAGGAGAGGUAAGUGGAAUUCCUAGUGUAGCGGUGAAAUGCGUAGAUAUUAGGAGGAACACCAGUGGCGAAGGCGGCUUACUGGACUGUAACUGACGUUGAGGCUCGAAAGCGUGGGGAGCAAACAGGAUUAGAUACCCUGGUAGUCCACGCCGUAAACGAUGAUUACUAGGUGUUGGUGGGUACGACCCAUCGGUGCCGCAGCAAACGCAAUAAGUAAUCCACCUGGGGAGUACGUUCGCAAGAAUGCAACUA